AACACUAUGGAAAAUGUAACAAGUCUGAGAGGAAAGGCUACAGUCACCUUGAACGACGAACACAGCCUUGUUUCGGUGGACUUCUUGAGGCGGAUGGCUCUGAAAUCACACAGCCUGACAAUAACGUAGUCUAUGAGGUGCCGAUGCUUUGAUCGUAGGUUUUUCAUUUGGAACAUGGUGUUUGUGACGGUGACUUCUUGCUCACCACAAAGGCUUAGCAAACCUCAAGCCAUCUGCAUUGGCCAACGUCGUGCUGUCUCAUCACUCCAUAUCUCACAAUCUUCUUCUCACUCAUGCGAUGAAGUCACCCAAUAACAAGAUAAUGUCCUUUUUGGUUACUCUGUGGAGGGCCUCGUCCAGCGUCUUGUAAAAGUGAUAUUUUGCAUCAUGUUCUAAUAGUGGAGUUGGUGCAUAAGAGACUGGCAUGCUGCUUUUCAAUCAGGGGAAUACGAAGUGACAUUAGCCUUGUGCCAGUUGGUGUUUCUGUGAGAUUUGCCAGGAGACAGUUCAUUUACGGCGAUGCCCACGCCAUGCAGAUGUUGCCCUUCUGGGGGGUGUCCCUUCCAGGAGAAUGUGAAGCCCUCUCCUUCCUCCCUGAGUAAACCUUCACCCAGCAGAUGUUGCCCUCCAACAGCUCCAGUCUGUUGGAGGACCGCCUUUCAAGCGGUCCUGGUAACUGGUAACUGGUGAAUGGUAACAGGUAACUGGUAACUGGUAACUGGUAAAUGGUAACAGGUAAGUGGUAAGUGGUAAGUGGUAACUGCAAACAAAAAUAAAACCUGAUAAUAAAGUGUCUUAGUAGGGCGUUGGGCUACAACCAGCUGCCAGAACCGUUUCAAUCAGCCUUGGCAUUGAUUCUACAAGUAUCUGGAACUCUUGGUGGGAUGUGACACCAUUCUUCCUCCUGGAAUUCCAUCAUGUGGUGUUUUGUUGAUGGUGGUGGAAAACGCUGUCUCCAGAAUCUCCCAUAAGUGUUCAAUUGGUUUGAAAUCUGGCGACUGAAACACACCUUUUAAAACCCCUGUGCUCCUUCGAGACUCCUGAGGUCUUUUCUUCUAGCAACGGUAGUCAAAAUAAUGAGCAACUGGGCAUUUUUUUUAAUAUCCUACAAGACCCUAAGCAUGAUGGGAUGUUCAUUGCUUAAUUAACUCAGG
rnacentral:lncRNA from 1 species